rnacentral:lncRNA from 1 species
GCCCACUUUGUCUCUGGAAAUUAAGAGCUGCCAUUAUACCUAUGGAAUGCGAGAACCCAGUUUCAGUGGGGAUGGCUCCUGUUCUCAGCUCUGAGUUGAAAAAGCAGUCAUCAUAGAGCUUUUCAAGAAAGAUCUUGGAACCAGUGGACGCCUCCCAACACCUUAGCCAAUGGAGUGUCCUCUGGACCUUGAAUGCUCGGCCGGUGAGCUGACUCAUGGAAAGCACCUGGAACAAAGCCUGGCACAGAGCGGACGCCGUGAGAGGAUCCGCCGCUGCUGCUGCGGUUAAAUGAGUGUUUCUGAAAAGCUUCCUGGGCCAAGCCAGUGCUAGACAGCAACAAGGCAGCAACAGGCAGCCAGCGCCUGCCCCCAAAGAGUUCCCA